rnacentral:tRNA from 1 species
GGGGUUGUGGCUUAGUGGUAGAGUGCUUACCUAGCAUACAUGAGGCACUGGGUUCGAUCCCCAGCACUACA